rnacentral:rRNA from 1 species
UGGGGAAUAUUGCGCAAUGGGCGAAAGCCUGACGCAGCGACGCCGCGUGAGGGAUGAAGGUUUUCGGAUCGUAAACCUCUGUCAGAAGGGAAGAAACCGCACUGUGCUAAUCAGCAGUGCCUUGACGGUACCUUCAAAGCAAGCACCGGCUAACUCCGUGCCAGCAGCCGCGGUAAUACGGAGGGUGCAAGCGUUAAUCGGAAUUACUGGGCGUAAAGCGCACGUAGGCUGCUUUGUAAGUCAGGGGUGAAAUCCCACGGCUCAACCGUGGAACUGCCUUUGAUACUGCUUAGCUUGAAUCCGGGAGAGGGUGGCGGAAUUCCAGGUGUAGGAGUGAAAUCCGUAGAUAUCUGGAGGAACAUCAGUGGCGAAGGCGGCCACCUGGACCGGUAUUGACGCUGAGGUGCGAAAGCGUGGGGAGCAAACAGG